CUCCGACCAAAAUCCAGUUCUCCAACCCAACUUCUAGUCUCCACCAUUGACGCUUGAAACUGGCCUCAGAUUGCAUGAUUAUCACAACACAAACUUUCUUCUUUUCCUUUCUCGAUGCCCGAUAUCAGUCCCCGCUGAACCUCGUCAUCUCCUUCGUCCUCCUCACUGCUGUCGUUUGGGUUCAACGAUGACGUGGUCACCGGAGUUCAUCACAAGUGAAGACCCCGAUCAAGGUCCCCAAGUCGCCGUAUAAGGUUUUGGAUGCACCGGCCUUGCAAGACAAUUUCUGCUAAUGCUGGUGGAUUGGUUGCUGCAUAAUGUAUUGGCUUUGGGGUAGGAAAACUGUGUUUAUUUGUGGAAUCAAUGUAUAGAAAGUGUGACCUCUUAGCUUUAUGAAAUCAAUGUAUAGAAAGUGUGAAUGUAAUGUGCAUUUUCUCAUAACACAGAGCUUUGCUCUUGCUAUUCUGGAGAAGGUUCAUUUUGUUGUACUUUAUAGUAUUAUAGAAGGAAUGAAGUCCAUGUAUGUUGUGUA